UCGUUGAACAGAAACAGGCUCUGCCUAGGGUCCCUCUUGAGGCUUCUCAGGUGGUCUCAGAAGGUCAUCCGGACUCAAGCUUCCCCUCCCAUCCCACACCACCCCCACCUACUUGUCUCCCUGUCCACACCCAUUGCAGGGGACACUGGCCACACAGGAGUGCAGAGGCCAGGCUGGAGAUGGAGGGGCUGGUCACAUUUACAGACUGACAGAGGACACGGAGUGGGUAGCACGGAUGUGGCAGGAUGUGGCAGGACGGGAACUGGACUGGGAGAGCACGGGGGGAGAGUGGAAUCGCCACACCGCCCAUUUCACAGAUGAGAGGAACAAAGCCGUGGAAAGGAGGGGACACACCCAGUCUCACACUGGGGGAAGACCUUUCAGCUCUGCAACGGAGGAUGCACACGUGAUGGGCUGAACCGCGUCUCCCAAAACAGACAAGUGGUGUCUGCCCCCAGGUCCACAACUGGGACCUUGUUCAGGGACAGGGUCUUACACAGGUGACCGCGUUAAGACGAGGUUAUUCGGGUGGGCUCUUACCCAACAGGACUGGCAUCCAUAUAAAGAGGAGGCUACUUCUGCAUUUCACACUGUUUUUGCGUUUUACAGUAAAAUAGGCUACCUUCAAGUAGAAAAAACUUCAAGGACAGUCAAGUGUCACUGCUUUGCUUCACCCGAGAAGGGCUCCCUCAUACGUGGCGCUCCCAGACCAUGGUCCGUUCUUGGCUUAGCCCCGAUCACCCAUGCCAGGGCAGAAGAAAGGCCUGACAGAGAGAUGGAGGGGUCGGCAGGGUACGCCCCCCAAGGAGGGCACUCGGAACACAUCCCCAAAGCGCGCUUCCACUCUCAGAAACAAGACACACAGCAGGCGGCCCGGAGGGUUCUCUACGUGGCGAGGUAACGCUGGGGACUGGGAUGGUCAGGAUACUAUCAUGUUCUUCUGAAAGGAAAGAUCUGGCCACAGACACUCCCUGAGGGAGGAUGCCAGGGACUCUCGGCUACCAGUGGAGGGAUGCAGCCUGGAUCAGGUCCCCGCUCCAGGCCCUCAGAAGGCACCGGCCCCCCGCCACCCCCCCGAUCUUGGACCUCAGGCCUCCAGACUGUGGAGGAAUCACUCCUGCAGCUGAAGCCCCCCAGGUGGUGGCAGCCCAGGGACCCUCGCAUGGCCACACCACUUCCUUCCGGGGCGCGGACCCUCGCAUGGCCACACCGCUUCCUUCGCAGGCGCAGCCCCUCCACGCGCCGCAGGGACCCUCGCACGGCCACAACCCUUCCUUCGCUGGCGCGGAUCCUCGCACGGCCACACCGCUUCCUUCCGGGCGCAGCCCCUCCACAUGCUGCAGCCCUUCAUCCCUGGCCAUCGUCACCGGUCCUGAAGCCACACUUGGACCUUCAGCUCCAGCCAGUCUUACCAAUGUGGUGGCUCAGGGAUCACUGGAGCAAAGCGGAUUCCAAGGCAAAGGAGAGCUGCUGCCUCCCUCCGCCAGAGGAAGCCAGCCUCCUCCCUUACUGAAGACAGGGAAACAGCGCACCCAGGGCAAGUGUCUCCUCCUCAGGUGUCAUUGCCAAGGCAACCCUGCCUUUGCGAGGGAGGCAGCUGGGUGGGGAGACCACACCCUGGGCUGGGUGUGUGGCUGCCCUGUCCCCCACAGGUGCCCAGAGGAAGACCCAGGCUUAGAGGCGGGGUCCACAGGCCCCCCAACAGGCUGGUCAGCUGGGUGGGGUUGGGGUGCACCCAAGGCUGGAGCAGAGGGCGGGGGCUGUGCUGAAAGCUGGCCCACACAGGCCUCCUCCUCCCAAGACCAGCUGGGGGCCUCUGAAGGGCCAUGGGCACGGAGGGACCAACUAUGACAUGUGUGCUGAGGGGGCCCCCGGCCAGUGACUGGAGAACUGGGGUAAGAGAGGACACGGCCGGGCCUCCCAGAUGGUGGCCACCCGGACAAGGCUCUUGUGGGCCCUGGCCCAGGAGCAGGUCAACACCCAGGCCAGACCCACAUGUGCACACACGGAGAGCCGGCAUGACCCAGCCCGGACAGCGAACACCAGCUUCCCAACCCACUGGAUGAAUGCAUCCAGGGGGACAAGGCAAGGAUUGGCAGGGUUUUAAAAACCAUAAAGGUCAAAGAAGAGCUCAAACAGCUCAAGGGGAGGAAACCUAGGUAACAGUCUCUCCCUGCAAUUAUUUUAAUGGGCUUUUCUGCAGGUGCCAGGAUGGAAGAGGGAAGCUUCUGCAGAGCCCAAACCAGCCCCAUUCCCUGGAAAGUGCAUUUCAUCAGACCCGACCCAGGCUGGAUUGUUAGACAGGAGGUCUGCGAUCAGAGCAGCCUGGAAAGCCAGAGAGCAUUCCAGAUCCAGGUGACCCCUCUCCUUAUCUUUAGACCGAGUCUUCCCUCAGCCCCAUUUUUCAUUUAGAAAAUUUUUAAAGAAAGAAAGAGAGAAACCCUAAGCAAUUAAGGAAGUGGCAUCCAGGCCAUGGGCAGGUCCAGUUUCUCGGACUCCUAAGGGUGGCCGGGACAGGCAGGAGGUCGAGGAGCUCUCAGCUGAGCCUGGCCAGCCGGGGGAUGGGCACACGGGGGCCCCACUGCCCAGGUCUGCGCCUGGGGCUGCAGGAUGGGGAGGAUUUGAGGUCUGAAGUUCAUGUACGUAUCCCGGGCUACAGUAAUGAAUGACCACUAACUAGGUGGACUUAACACUCACUCGUUUUCUCACGGUCCUGCAGUCCCGGAGUCCAAAAUCAAGAAGUCACACCCCCAUCGGAAGGCUUUAGAAAAUCCUCCCAUCCGUCCUCUCUCCAGCUGCUGGCGGCUGCUGGCGCCCUCGGCGUUCCCAGGCUCGUGGCGGCCUUACUCCCGCCUCUCGGCCUCUGCCCUCAUGUGGCCUCCUCCAGCACGUGUCUCUCUCCUCUUCUGCCUCACAAGGGCACUCUUCCUUGGAUUGGGGCCCAGCCUGAUCCAGGAGAAUCUCAUCUGCAGAUCCUUAACUAAUUCCAUUUGCAGAGACCCUUAUUCCAAGAAGGUGGAAGUUCAAGAAAUUCUCCUUCUUCAGCCUCCCAAGUAGCUGGGACUACAGCCUCCCUCUCCCUCGUCUCCCCUUUCCACGGUCUCCCUCUGAUGCCGAGCCGAGGCUGGACUGUACUGCCACCAUCUCGGCUCACUGCAACCUCCCUGCCUGAUUCUCCUGCCUCAGCCUGCCGAGCGCCUGGGAUUGCAGGCGCGCACCGCCACGCCUGACUGGUUUUUGUAUUUUUUGGUGGAGACGGAGUUUCGCUGUGUUGGCUGGGCUGGUCUCCAGCUCCUGACCGCGAGUGAUCUGCCCGCCUCGGCCUCCCGAGGUGCCAGGAUUGCAGACGGAGUCUCGCUUACUCAGUGCUCAAUCUUGCCCAGUCUGGAGUGCAGUGGCGUGAUCUCGGCUCGCUACAACCUCCACCUCCCAGCCGCCUGCCUUGGCCUCCCAAAGUGCCGAGAUUGCAGCCUCUGCCUGGCCGCCACCUCGUCUGGGAAGUGAGGAGCGUCUCUGCCUGGCCGUCCAUCGUCUGGGAUGUGAGGAGCCCCUCUGCCCGGCCGCCCAGUCUGGGAAGUGAGGAGCGCCUCUUCCCGGCCGCCAUCCCAUCUAGGAAGUGAGGAGCGUCUCUGCCCCGCCGUCCCGUCUGGGAUGUGAGGAGCGCCUCUGUCCGGCCGCGACCCCGUCUGGGAACUGAGGAGUAUCUCUGCCCCGCCGCCACCCCGUCUUGGAGGUGAGGAGCGUCUCUGCCUGGCCGCCCCGUCUGAGAGGUGAGGAGCCCCUCCGCCCAGCAGCCACCCGCUCCGGGAAGUGAGGAGCGUCUCCGCCCGGCAGCCGCCCCCUCCGGGAGGUGGGGGGCAGCUCCCGCCCGGCCAGCCGCCCCGUCCGGGAGGGAGGUGGGGGGCGCCUCUGGCCGGCCACCCCGUCUGGGAAGUGAGGAGCCCCUCUGUCCGGCCGCCACCCCGUCUGGGAGGAGUAGCCAACAGCUCAUUGAGAAUGGGCCAUGAUGACGAUGGCGGUUUUGUCAAAUAGAAAAGGGGGAAAUGUGGGGAAAAGAAAGAGAGAUCAGACUGUUACUGUGUCUGUGUGGAAAGAGGUAGACAUGGGAGACUCCAUUUUGUUCUGUACUAAGAAAAAUUCUUCUGCCUUGGGAUGCUGUUAAUCUAUAACCUUACCCCCAACCCCAUGCUCUCUGAAACAUGUGCUGUGUCCACUCAGGGUUAAAUGGAUUAAGGGCGGUGCAAGAUGUGCUUUGUUAAACAGAUGCUUGAAGGCAGCAUGCUCCUUAAGAGUCAUCACCACUCCCUAAUCUCAAGUACCCAGGGACACAAACACUGCGGAAGGCCGCAGGGUCCUCUGCCUAGGAAAACCAGAGACCUUUGUUCACAUGUUUAUCUGCCGACCUUCUCUCCCCUAUUGUCUUAUGACCCUGCCAAAUCCCCCUCUCCGAGAAACACCCAAGAAUGAUCAAUAAAUACUAUAAAAAAAAAAAAAGAAAAAAUUUUACAAUGUAGAGAAUGAAAGUAAAACUCCUCCUUCAAACCCUUCCACAUAUGUCCAGCUUCCCACAGAAAAUGACUCUUCAUUCUGAUUGGUUCUCUUUCGGUUCCUCUCCCAUGGAUUGAUCGACAUACACACCUUAUU